rnacentral:lncRNA from 1 species
GUACUGAUGCAGACAGCUAAAGGAAUGCCAGCACUGAACUUGACCUACCUUGCUUAUAACAAUGAAUUACCCUUUAUAGAACAGCCUGUGUCUUACUCAGAUCCCUUAUUAAAAUCCUGACAUCCCUGGGUCUUAUUAAGGCCCUAGAGAAGUGCCUGGAACUCGGUUCAGCACAGGUGUGAGGCCUAAUUUCCUCUUGUGAUCAACUCACAGUGUGCUGGCAAGACCUGCCAAUCCACUCCUCUGGGAGCCCAUCUGUCACUAUGCGGAGGUGUCACUACAAGAAAAUGGUCAGGGUCACUUUGCUGUUGUCUUCAUAUGGCUGCAAGUCUUUUCUUUAGUGAGUGCAAGAAGACUUGAUUCAGUCUACCCUGAAAUAGGGUCUUUGGUUCUUUUGUCUUCAAUUUUGCUGUUCAAUAAUUUUUUAUUUCAAAUUGCAACUUCCUUGGAUUUUGCAGAUACAUAUAUCAUCUUUUUUUUUACUAGCUAUAGUAGAGAAAUGAAAACGUUUAAUGAAGAAAAGGAAAGUAUGAAUAUUUGAAGAAAUAGAUUUGGCAGUUAAAUAC